UUUGACCUCGAAUCAGGUGGGACUACCCGCUGAACUUAAGCAUAUCAAUAAGCGGAGGAAAAGAAACUAACAAGGAUUCCCCUAGUAACGGCGAGUGAAGCGGGAAGAGCUCAAAUUUAAAAUCUGGCAAUC
rnacentral:rRNA from 1 species